rnacentral:lncRNA from 1 species
CAAAAAUGAUGAUACUGGGAGAAGACGACCAAGGCCUGAUCUUUGAACUGGGGCUGGAUGCUGAGUUACUUGAAAACAAAUAUUUGGAGGCUACCACAUAUUCUUGA